rnacentral:lncRNA from 10 species
AAAGAAGAUCCGGGAGUGUGGCUGGUAAUGCAGUAUUCAUUUAAUUGGGAGCAGACGGGCAGGAGAGGAUGCAGGAGACUGUACAAAGUUCAAGAAACGAUAUGCUUUAAUCAAGGUAAAAUGGAUGGAACAUCAGACAGCUCAUUAUAGAGACAAGUAAGCUCCAGUUCCAAAGUUGGUUGACAGAACAAGUCAUGACCUUGUGUGGAGGAAAAUGAGAUCCCGAGUGAAGUCUACAAUGUCAUUGACUCUGAAGAAGGACUCAGAGACCCAUUGGUGUUUAAUGACCCUUACUGGCCUAUGCAAUGGAAACUGAUCUUGAGUGUGCCUUAAAAUUCCAUUUCAUGGAGAACUGUGCGUGGUUGAAUUUUGAUUGAUUACUCAAUUAACUGAUGUAUUGGUAGAGUGAUUAAGAAAGAAGACUUUGGGAUCAGACCAACCUGGUUUUGAAUUCAAGCUCAGCAACUUACUAGGUAAGGAGGAGAAAAGAAAGAAGGAAAAAUUGGAAAGAUAAAUGGGGUCUUUCCAGUGAAGGUGAGCUUGAUUUUUGUCUGUUGAACUUUGGCAAGACAGCAAGGGUUGGAUUAAUUAAUGAUUAAUAACAAGUAAAAAUUAGUGAGAUUGGAGCA